UGGCUCAAUUGGUCGAGCAUGGUGUUUGCAACGCCAGGGUUGUGGGUUCGAUUCCCAC
rnacentral:tRNA from 1 species